rnacentral:rRNA from 1 species
AUGCUUUCUAUACUGGAAUCUGAACAUGAUGAGGGAUUGAAGGACAAAGAUGAUGCAUUUAUGAGUGUAGAUGCAGAGGUAGAUGCAGAAACAGAUGCAGAAGCAGCGGCUGCAGAAGCAGGAGACGAAUCAUUCUUACGUAGCAUCAUUGAAGAUGAAGAUGCCGAAGCAAAAGUUGGUGAAGGUGCCAAUCCAGAAGCUGCUCAAGAUGACAAGCCAGAAGGACGGAAGCAAAUGGCGUCAAGAUCACAAAUCUGGGAGCAUUUUACCAAAGUUUUUGAUGACAAGGGGUUAGUAAAGGAAGGAAAAUGCAAGUAUUGUGGCCGACCAAUUCAAGCUACUACAUCAAUCAAUGGAACAACAGCAAUGCGCGGGCACUUUGGUACAUGCAAGCGCAGUCCGAAUAAGAAAAUGGAUCCAAAUCAGACCACUUUGCAAGCAACUCCAGGAGAUGGCAUUAAUACUUGGAGAUAUGAUGCAGAAAAAGUUAGGAAGGCAUUUGCUGUGAUGGUCAUGGAGGAUGAACUGCCUUUUGCAUUUGGUGAGAAAUCUGGAUUCAGAAAGUUCAUUUCAGUCUCUUGCCCCCGCUUUAGUCCACCAUCAAGAAGAACUUGUACUAGGGACACUGUCAAAAUCUAUCUAGAUGAGAAAUGCAAGUUGAAAAAGUUUUUCAAAGAGAAUUGUGGAAGUGUGUGUGUAACCACUGAUUGUUGGACUUCUCAGCAGCAAGAUGGCUAUAUGGUAGUGACUGCACACUUCAUUGAUGAAGAGUGGAAGUAUCAUAAGAAGAUUAUUAAUUUCAUUAUGGUGAAGGGCCACAAAGGGAAGGACCUUGGGAAGAACUUGCAGAGAUGUUUGAUGGAAUGGGGGCUAGAGAGAGUUAUGACAGUCACCGUGGAUAAUGCAAGCAAUAAUGAUGGCUCCAUUGUUCACUUGAGAAAGUGCAUGGUUGAGGCCAAAACUAGCAUAGCUGCUGGAAAGUUUUUGCAUAUGAGAUGUGCGGCACAUAUUGUCAACCUUAUUGUACAAGAUGGCCUAAAAGAAGUUGAACUUUCAAUCAAACAUGUCCGAGCUGCUGUGCGAUACAUCAAGAAUGGGACUUCUCGGUUGGUAAAAUUCAAAGAGCUAGCAUUGGAAGAAAAAGUUAAGAGCAAAGCAUUCUUGAACCUAGAUGUAUGCACUCAGUGGAACUCAACUUACAUAAUGUUGAAGGCUGCCAUCACCUACGCGAAGGUGUUUACAAGGUACUGUGAGGAUGACCCAUUGUAUGCGUUGGACUUGUCUGAAGAAAAAGGAGGAUUUGGGUAUCCAGAUGAAAUGGAUUGGGAAAAUGCUAGGAAAAUGGCUGCCUUUCUUGCUCAUUUUUAUGAUCUUACUGUUCGUGUGUCAUCCUCACUUCAUGUCACUUCCAACAACUUUCUUUUCGAGGUUGGCAAUAUACACAUAUUGGUUCAAAAUUGGAUGAGCAGUACAGAUCCUUUGCAAAAAGCUAUGGCAGAGAGGAUGAAAGAAAAGUUUGACAAAUACUGGGGGUCUUGGCAUGAGAAUGAAAAGGUGAAGGAUAAGGGUCCUAUUGUAAAUGAAAGAGGGAAAGGGAAGAAGAAGGAGAAGGAGGAGAAGGAGAAGGAAAAUCUCAACUUUCUCAUUUUUAUUGCUGCAGCUCUUGAUCCAAGGUAUAAGCUUUCUGAUUUCACUAGGCUCGCUACUUUGGAAAUAUUUGGUGUUGAGUCUGGAGAGAAGGUGUGGUAUGCUGUCAACAAAUGUGUUCGCGAGUUGUUUGAAGAAUACCGAGUAAGAUUGACUACACCAGAACCAACAACACCAGCCAUUAGCCAAGUAACAAUAGAAGGAGGAGGAGCAAGUAUGAUGAAGGAACUAAUUGCAAGUAGGUUGAGGCAAAAUAAUAGUGGAGGAAGUGCAAGUAGUAUAUCUGAGCUUGAAAAAUACCUUGCUGAAGACUCUGAAGACCCUGACAAAAAAAUUGACAUCCUAGGAUGGUGGAAAGAGAAUUCAUCUAGGUUUCCAAUCUUGGCAAAUAUGGCUCGUGAUAUUCUUGCUAUCCCCAUUACAACUGUGGCUUCUGAGUCUGCCUUUAGCACAAGUGGACGCAUACUUGAUGACUUUAGGACAUCUCUAACUCCGUUUAUGGUGCAAGCUUUAGUUUGUACGCAAGACUGGCUGAGAAGGUCAACAGAUCCGGUCGACAUCAAGGAGAACUUGGAAGAAUUAGAAGUGCUAGAAAAAGAGUUGAUUGAAGAAUUUGGUGACAAGGUGAAGGGAAAGCGCAAGUUCAAUGGUGGUGUUGUUGCUUCUUCCAUGGCCAAGUCAAACAAGUGUGCAAGUUGA